rnacentral:rRNA from 1 species
UACGUAGGGGGCGAGCGUUGUCCGGAUUCACUGGGCGUAAAGGGUGCGUAGGUGGCGAGGUAAGUCGGAUGUGAAAGCUCGGAGCUCAACUCCGAAAUGGCAUUGGAAACUACCUUGCUCGAGGGUUGGAGGGGGGACUGGAAUGCUUGGUGUAGCAGUGAAAUGCGUAGAUAUCAAGCGGAACACCAGUGGCGAAGGCGAGUCCCUGGACAACUCCUGACACUGAGGCACGAAAGCUAGGGGAGCAAACAGG